AGGCAUGCGGUUUAUUGUUCGAAUUAAUUAAUGGAUUAUUAAUAAGAAAUGUAGAUAAUGUAUGCUGCAAAACUUUGAAAAUCCUGAAACACACCCUAAGGGUUAUGGAAUUUACAUCUUUCACAGCUUCUAUUAUUUCUUCACUAGUUUGCAGCUAUGCCCACACCUGGAAGGUGACAAAAGGUGGAGUUUACUUUCUCGCCCGUGUCAGCAGUCAUACUGUGGAAUCCAUGAAAAUUGGAUUUCCUUUUUCUGGUGCGUUUUACUCUUGAACUGUGUAACUGUGGAUAACUUUAAUACUGCCCAUUCUUUGUUUACAGUUAUAUAAUUUCUAUGAGCCUUAAAAGUAACCGACAUAUUUCUUUCUUAAGGUUUCAGUAUAAAACAUAAUCUGCAUCUUCAUUAUGAAACUCAUAUGCAAUUUUCUUCUAUCUCUAGAAGUUUAGAUUGAGGUUUAAAAGAACCAUUUUCAUUAUCAAGCUUCCCCAUAGUUUCCCACUUUCCUAUUCCAAAUAUUUUAAAAAAUCACACCAAAUAUCAGAGCUUUUAGCAAUAUAAAGAAAGAUUUACUUUCAAAAGUAGCAAAACUUGUUUGAAAAAAAUAUAUAUCUUUAAGUGAAUUACUUUAUAAAUGUGACUGUCAAAGUCAGCUAUCCUAUGAUCUACAUUUUACAACAUAUUGUACAAAAGAUACAUUGAUAGGCUCUUAUCUAUUUAUAUAUUUAUAAUUACAUAUUGCACUUGGACCAGCAAGGCUUGCAGAGUCAUUCACGGUAGAAGUUAAUAAAGUUAAAUAGAUGGGAAUCUUUGUAAGUACAAUUGAUCUCCUCUGGUUUGGAAACAAAUCUCCUCGUCGUUGUAAAGUGUUCUCGCGGGGUGGGACAGAGAGAGGAGCAUUGCGAGGGGGAAGCAGAGACAGAGAGCACGGAGGGCAGGGGUCGCCUUCCCGGGGCCCGCUCCCCCCGGGAGCGCGCCUUUCCCAGACUCGCACCUCCAAGGUCAGGACGCGGUGGUUCCACAUAAGCGGCUCGCGGUCACCACUUCUUUCAGGUCACUCUCGGGUUUCCCGGCCACCAUAAAGGGCCACGUCUGCGGGAAAGAAGAGGGUGGAGGAGGUGGAGAUUUAAAUGACCACAUCCACCCUAAGAUUUAUUGUGAGAAUGAUUGAUGUUAUAAACCAGGAAAAAGACUCUUCCCACAGCAGGGAUGACAGAAAUAUCAAGUUGAAGUUGCCUUUGUCUUCACAUACAAAUGACCCAGUACUAUAACACAGAAAGUAUAAUAAUUUAAUCUGAGGUUCAAGACAGCAGUAAGAGAACACCCAGCAGGCCUGUUAAAAAUUUCUUCACUAAUUCCCCAACUAGUUUCCUUUGAUUUGCUCUCCCUUUUCUCAGUCUUGGUAAAACAUGAAAGUUAAAGUUAUUUUUAGACUAAAGAGCUAUGUGAAAAUAGGCAUUGGCCAAUACUUUGUGAAAUGUGUGUGUGUGUGUGUGUGUGUGUGUGUGUAGCUACUAAGAUAUCUGCAAAAUAACUACAAAUAAUUAAUUUGGGCUCUGGAAUGUGAUAAUUAUUAUAAAUCCAAACUAUGGCCUUAAUACCAGGCUAUUAAGCUGUGAUUUUUCUUGUUGGAGCCAUUUUUUUUUCUUUUUGGCUCUGGCUUUCUGUUACACCUUAGUUAAUGGACUGCUCAGGCUGUCUGGGGAGAUAGUAACAAUCAUAGUAAUAUGUACCACUGAAAAGAUUUCUGUUAUCUGUAUAUUUUUCAAUGUUGGAAACUUAAAAGUACCAAUUUCUGGAAGCAUGUAAAACUAGCCUCAUGUCAUAGGCUGGUUUUUAUGCUUAGCAAUUACUUUUCUUCAUAGCCAUAUAAGAAAUAAUUAAGUCCCAUGUCCAUUUAUCUUGCAGUGAGGCAUUUAGGCUGAGAAAGGCUAGUGGGCUGAUAAUAAAUUUUGGAGUGUUUCUAAAAUUCUGUAAAAGAUGGCUUCCAGUUUGGGAGUAAGAGUUGAAGAAUGCUGUUGCUUAUGUAUCUUGAUAUGAAGUCUUGAAGAAAGAAUAUUCAUAUGAAAAAUACUUUUUUCUUUUAAAAUUUUGUGUCUAUCCCUGCUAAUAAACACUUAGGGACAAAUGGGUGGGGGAAAUGACUUCUUGUUGGAUUCUACUGAGCAAAUCAGUUAAGCUGUAACUUAAGCUGUGCCAAAUUCUCCCAAAAUAUAAACUAUAUUCUGUGAGAAGAGAAGCACUUUUGAGAAGCUGUAUUAACCCUUUUGGUACGUUGACCCUUCUGUUCCAAAGCACGAAAUAGAAAACUAGUGAUUUGAAAGUAUGAGAUCAUUUCUAAAAGUUCUUACCUGACUUUUAAGAAACAGUUAUGCCCCAGAGGCAUCUGGCCAAUUUGCUGCUCACUUCUAACAAUUUGUUUUGCAAGAGAGACUAUCUUUGAAAGAUUUUAGUGCUAAGGAAAUUUUAUCUCCGAAAGCUGUAAAAUGAAGAUUAGGCAUGGAAUGUACCCUUGAACUUAAAUCCUGGUUUAUCAGCUGAUACAUUUACAGGAAGUUCAAAUUUGAUUCAGUUGCACUUGGAUGGAAUAAUUUGCUUCCUUUUUUAUGAGAAGGAAAACAUCAUAGGCUUCCUUUGAACUGACUUCAUAUGCCAUUACAUAAUCUUUCUCAGGGGAAAAAUAUGCCUUUAAAUGUAAAUGUUAAUUCUUUUCUCUUACUCCUCAUAAUUUGGUCAGGAGACACAGGCUGGCAAAUCGGCAAAACUGCCCAUUCUCUUUUUUCUUCAUUUCUAAUUAGCACCUCCAGAUGUUUUAUUCAUUUUAUUUGAUGGUAACUACCACCACUUCAAAUAUUUGCCAACUUUCUAUGCAACUUGAUGCCUUUUUUUUUUCUUUUUUGUUGGAGUCUUGCUCUGUCACCCAAGCUGGAGUGCAUCAGCAUGAUCUAGGCUCACUGCAACCUCCGCCUCCCAAGUUUAAGAGAUUCUCAUGCCUCAGCCUCUCGAGUAGCUAGAAUUACAGGUGCCUGCCACCAUGCCUAUCUAAUUUUUGUAUUUUUAGUAGAGGUGGGAUUUCGCCAUUUUGGCCAGGCUGGUUUCAAACUCCUGAUCUACCCACCUCGGCCUCCCAAAGUGCUGGGAUUACAGGCAUGAGCCACCGUGCCCAGCCAGGUGCCUCUUUUUUGAUUUUACAUAAUUAUCUCCAUACCCUUUGUUUGCUGCUGAUUGAUUGUUGUCUAUCUCCCACUUAUAUGCCUAUCAAAAUCUGACUUUGUUUCAUUAAAUUUUAACUUUAUUUCAUAAAGUGAGCAUUACCUCUCUUUGCUCCUUCUAAAUUAUAGUGGUGCUGGCCUGUUAUAUUUUGGCAGCCAAAGUGAAUAUGGCACUAGUGAGCUUGGUGGCUAGCUAAGAAGGUCAAUAACAGUGAUGCUGGGUGUUGCUGCUACCUUUACUUGGCACCAGCUGGGAGACGGUAUAAAUCCUGGAUGGUAUAAAUCCAUUCAGUAAUCAGAAGUCUUCCGCGUGUUCACUAUACCCUAACCCCCUCUUUUCACAUUUAAUUCAGUGAAUUGUAGAUAAGAUGCCACAUUGCUAAGAUUUAAAGCUGGCAAAUAACAACAAUAAAGUUUAGGGAAAGAUUCUGCAUGGUUCUUUGAAUCCAGGAGUUAAUCUUGCAUUUCACGUGUUCCACAAUACAGCUUUGAAAGCAGCCAAGCCUAUGCACUUGAAAGUCAGGGUUUACCCUAAGGUGUAAGUGGGCCAGAGAAAACUCGGGCAGACAAAGAGAGUUAAACAUUUUGCAAAGCCAGUUUAGUGUCUUCCUAAGUUUUCUAAUACUAGAAUAAUUGUAUUAGACCCUGUCAGUGUUAGGAAAGAGAGAGAAAAGGACUGAGCGACUCCUGAGUCAGGUACCAUGCAGGGACCUUUGCCUCCAUUCUCUCAUUUCAUGUAUUUUCUCUCCUUUCUGUUGGCACUACUAAAGAAAGAGCUGCCACAUGAAAUGAAUAGUGUAUUAGAAAUGUAUGCCAGAGGCUUUCCCCUGUAAUAAAGUUUUAGAAAAACUG
rnacentral:antisense_RNA from 1 species